rnacentral:tRNA from 1 species
GGAGAGAUGUCUGAGUGGUUUAAGGUGCACGCUUGGAAAGCGUGUGUGGAGGCAACUCCACCGCGGGUUCAAAUCCCGCUCUCUCCGCAA